AUUGAACGCUGGCGGCAGGCUUAACACAUGCAAGUCGAGCGGUAGCACAAGAGAGCUUGCUCUCUGGGUGACGAGCGGCGGACGGGUGAGUAAUGUCUGGGAAACUGCCUGAUGGAGGGGGAUAACUACUGGAAACGGUAGCUAAUACCGCAUAACGUCGCAAGACCAAAGAGGGGGACCUUCGGGCCUCUUGCCAUCAGAUGUGCCCAGAUGGGAUUAGCUAGUAGGUGGGGUAAUGGCUCACCUAGGCGACGAUCCCUAGCUGGUCUGAGAGGAUGACCAGCCACACUGGAACUGAGACACGGUCCAGACUCCUACGGGAGGCAGCAGUGGGGAAUAUUGCACAAUGGGCGCAAGCCUGAUGCAGCCAUGCCGCGUGUGUGAAGAAGGCCUUCGGGUUGUAAAGCACUUUCAGCGAGGAGGAAGGUGGUGGACUUAAUACGUUCAUCAAUUGACGUUACUCGCAGAAGAAGCACCGGCUAACUCCGUGCCAGCAGCCGCGGUAAUACGGAGGGUGCAAGCGUUAAUCGGAAUUACUGGGCGUAAAGCGCACGCAGGCGGUUUGUUAAGUCAGAUGUGAAAUCCCCGGGCUCAACCUGGGAACUGCAUUUGAAACUGGCAAGCUAGAGUCUCGUAGAGGGGGGUAGAAUUCCAGGUGUAGCGGUGAAAUGCGUAGAGAUCUGGAGGAAUACCGGUGGCGAAGGCGGCCCCCUGGACGAAGACUGACGCUCAGGUGCGAAAGCGUGGGGAGCAAACAGGAUUAGAUACCCUGGUAGUCCACGCUGUAAACGAUGUCGAUUUGGAGGUUGUGCCCUUGAGGCGUGGCUUCCGGAGCUAACGCGUUAAAUCGACCGCCUGGGGAGUACGGCCGCAAGGUUAAAACUCAAAUGAAUUGACGGGGGCCCGCACAAGCGGUGGAGCAUGUGGUUUAAUUCGAUGCAACGCGAAGAACCUUACCUACUCUUGACAUCCAGAGAACUUUCCAGAGAUGGAUUGGUGCCUUCGGGAACUCUGAGACAGGUGCUGCAUGGCUGUCGUCAGCUCGUGUUGUGAAAUGUUGGGUUAAGUCCCGCAACGAGCGCAACCCUUAUCCUUUGUUGCCAGCGGUUCGGCCGGGAACUCAAAGGAGACUGCCAGUGAUAAACUGGAGGAAGGUGGGGAUGACGCCAAGUCAUCAUGGCCCUUACGAGUAGGGCUACACACGUGCUACAAUGGCAUAUACAAAGAGAAGCGACCUCGCGAGAGCAAGCGGACCUCAUAAAGUAUGUCGUAGUCCGGAUUGGAGUCUGCAACUCGACUCCAUGAAGUCGGAAUCGCUAGUAAUCGUAGAUCAGAAUGCUACGGUGAAUACGUUCCCGGGCCU
rnacentral:rRNA from 1 species